rnacentral:RNase_P_RNA from 2 species
GGAGUGGACCGGAUGGCCGCUGGCCGGAGGUCGCAGUGGGCUGCCAUAUCAGCCCGUUGAGGGCCCCGGCGAGAGGAAAGUCCGGGCUCCGGAGGACACGGUGAUGGGUAACGCCCACCGGCCGCGAGGCCAGGGAAAGUGCAACAGAAAGCAAACCGCCUCGCGGGUCUCCUGCGAGGUAAGGGUGAAACGGUGAGGUAAGAGCUCACCAGCAGGCCGGGUGACCGGCCUGGCUAGGCAAACCCCACCGGGAGCAAGGUUAAACAGGGAGCAGCGGAUGCGCCGGAUGACUCCGUUCAUGCGGUCGCUCCCACGGGCUGGUCCGGUCCGUGAUCGACUCCCGGGUGGACCGCUUGAGGAGUCGAGCAAUCGGCUUCCUAGAUAAAUGGCCAUCGCCCGUGCGGCACGUCGCCGCCCGGGAACAGAACCCGGCUUACAGGUCCGCUCCGGCC